rnacentral:rRNA from 1 species
UACGUAGGGCGCAAGCGUUGUCCGGAAUUAUUGGGCGUAAAGAGCUCGUAGGCGGUUUGUCGCGUCUGCUGUGAAAACCUGAGGCUCAACCUCGGGCUUGCAGUGGGUACGGGCAGACUAGAGUGCAGUAGGGGUGACUGGAAUUCCUGGUGUAGCGGUGGAAUGCGCAGAUAUCAGGAGGAACACCGGUGGCGAAGGCGGGUCUCUGGGCCACUACUGACGCUGAGGUGCGAAAGCGUGGGGAGCGAACAGG